GUGCCCGUAACUCAGUGGUAGAGUGUGAGAUUGCAAUCAGAUGUAGAAAUAUCACAAUCAAUCUCGAAGCCGCGUGUUCGAACCACGCCGGGCACU
rfam:Moniliophthora roreri MCA 2997 sctg_0095_0007, whole genome shotgun sequence.